rnacentral:rRNA from 1 species
GGUUAAGCGACUAAGCGUACACGGUGGAUGCCCUGGCAGUCAGAGGCGAUGAAGGACGUGCUAAUCUGCGAUAAGCGUCGGUGAGGUGA